UGCAUAAUACAUAUAAAGACAAAAAAUUCGAUUUGGUUUUUCGAAAUUCACAAAUCCAAUAUCGUGGAAUAAGAUGCGUAGCCACCUGUCGGAGUCAUUUCGAACUACAUUCCAUAUUUCACCACAAUGGCGGUUAGUUUAUGUUCUAGGUUCUAAUAAUUCAGACCAAAAACCAGCAUUUUUCUGGAAGCUUGUGUUGUAAAAUUGUAUUUUGUCCGUAGAGAUGUGUCCACAAGAAAAAAACGAACACAAAGAUCCUUUUCACAGAAUUCGAAGGAGCUCAACGCUUCAAAAGGGGGUUCAGAGGAGAAGCAACUGGAUCAACAGACCAAAUGGAGCCCUAAUAUCCUAAAUUGAAGAGAAAUCUAAUCUGUUUUUUCAAAGGGCAGGGCUUCUCCUUACAAUGGUGAUAACCGAUAACCACACAUUCCCAAAAAAUGCAUAGGGAUGGUCGAUGAAUCUGAAGUCUCUCAACAAAACCAUACUCGGAACGGAACUGCUUGGAAUUUCUACUGAAUUUUCAAGUGUCUCACAUAUACUAUAGCUGGAUUAUAACUGCAGAUUAGUUUGAAAAGAUGAAGGAUACGACCCAUUUCUGCAAGGAACUUGCCAUCAUCAGGUAUUCUGAAAACAAAUUCGUCCAACAAAUUGUGAAGGAUCUGAAAAUUAAGCUAUAGCCUACCAGCGAAGGUUGACAACUGUGAUAACAUUUAAGUGAAGCAGACCUAUAUUUGAAGACUCGUUAGAUCAAAAGAACGAAGAAACAAAGUUUUUGCUCUGAUUCCUUCAAAACGUUAAAUGAAAGCAACUGGAACUUAUGAGGAAUGCCUAGCAAUCUUUGUCAUCGCGGUUUAUUGAAUAGCAUUAGGAUUUUCGGGGUUUGGAGAGACUCAAGCCAAUUAAUGGAGAAAAAGUUCAAGCUAAGAUGCUGUGUUUGGGGUGGAGUGAAAAUAGCUCAUGCUAUAUAUCAGGAGGCUAAACACCUUGUAAAGUUAUGGACCUAAGUGAUUCAAAGAGAAAAAAGGAUCACACAUAGAAGUAAAACCUGAGAUAAAUUAAUACUUAAGAAUGAGAUAAGUUAACUUGUCUCUAAUGGAACAUUCUAUAGAAGAUAUUUAAAGAUACCUCCUCUGGGCAUGGGUAACUGAUGCUUAUUUCCUAUAUAUUAAUUAUCUUGUUCAGCCCAUAAGCAAGGUUUUGAUAUAUACAUCCAUUUUGAUCAAAAAUGGACUUGACUCCCUUUUCCCUGGCACCACGGAAUCACUGUGCCUUAGAACAAAAAACUAAAUCGGAAUCAUUGACAGAAAAAUGUUAUUCGAUGAAGAAUUCUUUGAACUCAACAAAAAUUUGGAGCGUACAUUUAAAAUGAAGUGUAACAUGGAUCCAGAAACCAGUAGAGAAGUAUUUAUAAAUGAGAGAGUCUAUGAGAAUAGUUAUAGUAGCUAUUUGCUAUCGAUCACCAGCAUUAUUAACCUCAAUUUUUAAAUGUAUAAGUUCAUUUUCAUACCUGUGAGUAUACUAGAUUUUAUUCAUGUUCUUUCAUCUGGGAAAAUUUUUGUCUCUGUUGUACCAUCAUGAAAUUCUGGGAGAACAGUAUUGAUAUUUUUUUUAUAUUCAUCUGUAUCUGCGUAUAUUUUCAAGUCAUAAUCUUAGAUGAAAGAUCUAAAAGGAUCCAGCUAUGAUUUUGUUGUGAUCAUUUCCUUCCAAGAGCACUUCAAUAGAAAGUUAAGUCCUGUUAUGUAGUAUGAAAUUAUGGUUUGUGGAUGGAAGAUGCAAUAGAGAGAAUAGUUCAAGGAAAUGAGUAAAAAUUUUGUUAUUUCCAUUUGAAAUGAGUCAUUCUAACUGCCUAAAAUGUCAGGACUUUGGCAUUCCUACAGUUUAUGAAGAGAAACCGACAUAGUCUCUUUGUCACGCCAUCAAUGUAAACUCACAAUUGAUUAUUUGGAAAAUAUGACUGUAUUUUCAUCCACUGAAGUAUUUUCAAAUGUGAAGUGCAAUAUUCAAAAAUGAAACAACUUGUUUUUAUAGGCAAACCUUCAUUAUUCAAACGAUUCAAAUAUUUUAUCAAUAAUUGAUAACCGAAUACCUUCAAUGAGCAAUCAUACAGUUUCUAAUCUUCCUUCAAUAGCGUCCAGAGGUUACUGAUUUCAAAUUUAAUCGAUCGAUGUAUCAAUAAUUGAUUCCAUAUUAAGGCGCUAUUAAUUUAGUUACUGAAUAGAAUAAUUAUAUGCUCAAAUACUUAAAUUAUAUGUUACUUCCGAUCAAUGAAUAAAGGUGAUUUCUAUGUCU